CAGCCCCGCGGUAAUACGUAGGGUGGCAAGCGUUGUCCGGAAUUAUUGGGCGUAAAGGGCUCGCAGGCGGUUUCUUAAGUCUGAUGUGAAAGCCCCCGGCUCAACCGGGGAGGGUCAUUGGAAACUGGGAAACUUGAGAGCAGAAGAGGAGAGUGGAAUUCCACGUGUAGCGGUGAAAUGCGUAGAGAUGUGGAGGAACACCAGUGGCGAAGGCGACUCUCUGGUCUGUAACUGACGCUGAGGAGCGAAAGCGUGGGGAGCGAACAGGAUUAGAUACCCCCGUAGUCCCUGUCUCUUAUAC
rnacentral:rRNA from 1 species